rnacentral:rRNA from 1 species
CCAGACUCCUACGGGAGCAGCAGUGGGGAAUAUUGCGCAAUGGGCGAAAGCCUGACGCAGCGACGCCGCGUGAGGGAUGAAGGUCUUCGGAUCGUAAACCUCUGUCAGCAGGGAAGAACGGUCACUGUGCUAAUCAGCAGUGAAUUGACGAUACCUGCAAAGGAAGCACCGGCUAACUCCGUGCCAGCAGCCGCGGUAAUACGUAGGUGGCAAGCGUUAUCCGGAUUUACUGGGUGUAAAGGGCGUGUAGGCGGGCUUGCAAGUCAGAUGUGAAAUUCCAGGGCUCAACCCUGGAACUGCAUUUGAAACUGUAGGUCUUGAGUGCUGGAGAGGCAAUCGGAAUUCCGUGUGUAGCGGUGAAAUGCGUAGAUAUACGGAGGAACACCAGUGGCGAAGGCGGAUUGCUGGACAGUAACUGACGCUGAGGCGCGAAAGCGUGGGGAGCAAACAGGAUUAGAUACCCGAGUA